rnacentral:rRNA from 1 species
UUUCGGGGGUACUCGAGUGGCGAACGGGUGAGUAACACGUGGGUGAUCUGCCCUGCACUUUGGGAUAAGCCUGGGAAACUGGGUCUAAUACCGAAUACACCCUGCUGGUCGCAUGGCCUGGUAGGGGAAAGCUUUUGCGGUGUGGGAUGGGCCCGCGGCCUAUCAGCUUGUUGGUGGGGUGAUGGCCUACCAAGGCGACGACGGGUAGCCGGCCUGAGAGGGUGACCGGCCACACUGGGACUGAGAUACGGCCCAGACUCCUACGGGAGGCAGCAGUGGGGAAUAUUGCACAAUGGGCGCAAGCCUGAUGCAGCGACGCCGCGUGAGGGAUGACGGCCUUCGGGUUGUAAACCUCUUUCAGCACAGACGAAGCGCAAGUGACGGUAUGUGCAGAAGAAGGACCGGCCAACUACGUGCCAGCAGCCGCGGUAAUACGUAGGGUCCGAGCGUUGUCCGGAAUUACUGGGCGUAAAGAGCUCGUAGGUGGUUUGUCGCGUUGUUCGUGAAAACUCACAGCUUAACUGUGGGCGUGCGGGCGAUACGGGCAGACUAGAGUACUGCAGGGGAGACUGGAAUUCCUGGUGUAGCGGUGGAAUGCGCAGAUAUCAGGAGGAACACCGGUGGCGAAGGCGGGUCUCUGGGCAGUAACUGACGCUGAGGAGCGAAAGCGUGGGGAGCGAACAGGAUUAGAUACCCUGGUAGUCCACGCCGUAAACGGUGGGUACUAGGUGUGGGUUUCCUUCCUUGGGAUCCGUGCCGUAGCUAACGCAUUAAGUACCCCGCCUGGGGAGUACGGCCGCAAGGCUAAAACUCAAAGGAAUUGACGGGGGCCCGCACAAGCGGCGGAGCAUGUGGAUUAAUUCGAUGCAACGCGAAGAACCUUACCUGGGUUUGACAUGCACAGGACGCCGGCAGAGAUGUCGGUUCCCUUGUGGCCUGUGUGCAGGUGGUGCAUGGCUGUCGUCAGCUCGUGUCGUGAGAUGUUGGGUUAAGUCCCGCAACGAGCGCAACCCUUGUCUCAUGUUGCCAGCACGUUAUGGUGGGGACUCGUGAGAGACUGCCGGGGUCAACUCGGAGGAAGGUGGGGAUGACGUCAAGUCAUCAUGCCCCUUAUGUCCAGGGCUUCACACAUGCUACAAUGGCCGGUACAAAGGGCUGCGAUGCCGUGAGGUGGAGCGAAUCCUUUCAAAGCCGGUCUCAGUUCGGAUCGGGGUCUGCAACUCGACCCCGUGAAGUCGGAGUCGCUAGUAAUCGCAGAUCAGCAACGCUGCGGUGAAUACGUUCCCGGGCCUUGUACACACCGCCCGUCACGUCAUGAAAGUCGGUAACACCCGAAGCCGG